rnacentral:rRNA from 1 species
GAUGAACGCUGGCGGUAUGCCUAACACAUGCAAGUCGUACGAGAGUUUUUAACUCUAGUGGCGGACGGGGUGAGUAACACGUGAGAAUUUGCCUUUAGGAGGGGGACAACAAUUGGAAACGAAUGCUAAUACCCCCAUAUGCUUUCGAGUGAAAUGGAUUUUAUCCGCCUAGAGAGAAGCUCGCGGCUGAUUAGCUUGUUGGUAAGGUAAGAGCUUACCAAGGCGACGAUCAGUAUCUGGUUUGAGAGGACGAUCAGACACACUGGAACUGAGACACGGUCCAGACUCCUACGGGAGGCAGCAGUGGGGAAUUUUCCGCAAUGGGCGAAAGCCUGACGGAGCAAUACCGCGUGAGGGAAGAAUGCCUAUGGGUUGUAAACCUCUUUUUUCAGGGUAGGAAUAAAUGAACGUGUACCUGAAGAAUAAGCAUCGGCUAACUCCGUGCCAGCAGCCGCGGUAAAGUGAC